UACGUAGGGGGCAAGCGUUGUCCGGAUUUAUUGGGCGUAAAGAGCGUGUAGGCGGCCUGACAGGUCUGCUGUGAAAACUCGAGGCUCAACCUCGAGAUGUCGGCGGAAACCGUCUGGCUAGAGUCCGGAAGAGGAGAGUGGAAUUCCUGGUGUAGCGGUGAAAUGCGCAGAUAUCAGGAAGAGCACCCGUGGCUAAGGCGGCUCUCUAGUACGGUACUGACGCUGAGACGCGAAAGCGUGGGGAGCGAACAGG
rnacentral:rRNA from 1 species